rnacentral:rRNA from 1 species
GAUAAACGCUGGCGGCGUGCCUAAUGCAUGCAAGUCGAACGGGGGAUAGGGCUUCGGCCCUAUUCUUAGUGGCGGACGGGUGAGUAACGCGUAAGUAAUCUAUCCUCGAGUGGGGGAUAACCCCGAGAAAUCGGGGCUAAUACCGCAUAAAGUGGGGAUCCUCACCAAAGCCUUCGGGUGCUUGAGGCGGAGCUUGCGUCCGAUUAGCUAGUUGGCAGGGUAAAGGCCUACCAAGGCUGAGAUCGGUAGCUGGUUUGAGAGGAUGAUCAGCCACACUGGGACUGAGACACGGCCCAGACUCCUACGGGAGGCAGCAGCAGGGGAUAUUGCGCAAUGGGCGAAAGCCUGACGCAGCAACGCCGCGUGGGGGAAGAAGGUCUUCGGGUUGUAAACCCCUUUUCUGGGGGAAGAAAAAUGACGGUACCCCAGGAAUAAGUCUCGGCUAACUACGUG